UGGAGUGAUUUGAGGAUGGGGGGUGAUGUGGUCGUGUUUGCGCACACUCAUUAGGAUCCUAGCAGCACUUUUUUGA